rnacentral:lncRNA from 1 species
AGAACAACACCAACCAGUGUAGAGUUGAUGGAGUCUCGAGUAAUUCUUGCACCCAAAUCAGGAUCGAUCGAGAUGGGACCGACACUAUCUCGGGUGCCUUCAACACCCAAAUGGAUGGCGGCAUCAAGCGAUCGACCACCUACUGAAGAGCUUGGGAAAGCAUCGGCCAGCUCGACUGACGAUGGGUCAUCGAUGAGCUUUACGGA